rnacentral:rRNA from 1 species
UACAGAGGUCCCAAGCGUUGUUCGGAUUCACUGGGCGUAAAGGGUGCGUAGGUGGUGAGGUAAGUCGGAUGUGAAAGCUCGGAGCUCAACUCCGAAAUGGCAUUGGAAACUACCUUGCUCGAGGGUUGGAGGGGGGACUGGAAUGCUUGGUGUAGCAGUGAAAUGCGUAGAUAUCAAGCGGAACACCAGUGGCGAAGGCAAGUCCCUGGACAACUCCUGACACUGAGGCACGAAAGCUAGGGGAGCAAACAGG